rnacentral:rRNA from 1 species
GGCUACACACGUGCUACAAUGGGUAGUACAGGGAGUCGCAAAGCCGCGAGGUGGAGCUAAUCUCAGAAAACUAUUCUUAGUUCGGAUUGUACUCUGCAACUCGAGUACAUGAAGUUGGAAUCGCUAGUAAUCGCGAAUCAGCAAUGUCGCGGUGAAUACGUUCUCGGGUCUUGUACACACCGCCCGUCACACCACGAGAGUUGGUUGCACCUGAAGUAGCAGGCCUAACCGUAAGGAGGGAUGCUCCGAGGGUGUGAUUAGCGAUUGGGGUGAAGUCGUAACAAGGUAUCCGUACGGGAACGU